AGAGCGAACGCUGGCGGCAGGCUUAACACAUGCAAGUCGAGCGCCCCGCAAGGGGAGCGGCAGACGGGAGAGUAACACGUGGGAACGUACCUUUCGGUUCGGAACAACCCAGGGAAACUUGGGCUAAUACCGGAUACGUCCGUAAGGAGAAAGAUUUAUCGCCGAAAGAUCGGCCCGCGUCUGAUUAGCUAGUUGGUGAGGUAAUGGCCUACCAAGGCAACGAUCAGUAUCC
rnacentral:rRNA from 1 species